rnacentral:rRNA from 1 species
AACGUAGGUGGCGAGCGUUAUCCGGAUUUACUGGGCGUAAAGCGUGUGCAGGCGGCUCACCAAGUGGUGUAUGAAAUAUCCAGGCUCAACCUGGAGGGGUUAUGCCAGACUGGUGGGCUAGAGUGCGAGAGAGGGGCGUGGAAUUCCGGGUGUAGUGGUGAAAUGCGUAGAGAUCCGGAAGAACACCGGUGGCGAAGGCGGUCUGCUGGGGUCGAACUGACGCUGAGGCGCGAGAGCGUGGGGA